rnacentral:tRNA from 1 species
GGGGAUGUGGCUCAGCAGCAGAGCACUUGCCUAGCUUGCAUGAGGCCCUGAGUUCUAUUCUCAGUCUUCCCA